rnacentral:lncRNA from 1 species
AGGGGCGGGGCCGGGCGGGGCGAGCGCUCCAGGCCUCCUCCCGACCCUGCGCCGUGCCCAGCCCCUCUGCCCUCCUGUUACCCCGGGACCUCGGGCCGCCAGCCCCUUCCACGUGCAGGCUCCUGCUGCUCUCGCGGGGGCUUUUCGUGUGUCCCCCGAGAUGUCGAGGAAGCCAGAGUCCAGCUCUCCCACGGGUGGCUGUGAUCCUUCUUCCUGGGGAGUCCUGCUGUCCCUGACUAGGGGCACCUGCCCACCUGUCAGCUGCUCCUCCCUCGGCUGGUCCUCCUGGGCUCUGAUGGCCCCAACAUUUCUAGCUCUUCUCACCCAUAGUGCCCCAAGCUUCAUGCAGCUGCGGCAGGAUGCUGUAACAAGCUGUCAUCUCGGGAGGAGACACCAGGCCCUGACCAGACGCUGAACAUGCCAGCACCUUCAUCUUGGACUUUCCAGCCCCCAGAACUGUGAGAAAUAAAUUUCUGUUCUUUAUAAGUACC